rnacentral:tRNA from 1 species
GUUUGUGGCUCAGUGGUAGAGCGCUCACCUAGCAUGCGUGAGGCACUGGGUUCGAUCCCUGGCACAACA